AUUGAACGCUGGCGGCAGGCCUAACACAUGCAAGUCGAACGAGCGGCGGACGGGUGAGUAAUGUCUGGGAAACUGCCUGAUGGAGGGGGAUAACUACUGGAAACGGUAGCUAAUACCGCAUACCAUCAGAUGUGCCCAGAUGGGAUUAGCUAGUAGGUGGGGUAAUGGCUCACCUAGGCGACGAUCCCUAGCUGGUCUGAGAGGAUGACCAGCCACACUGGGACUGAGACACGGCCCAGACUCCUACGGGAGGCAGCAGUGGGGAAUAUUGCACAAUGGGCGCAAGCCUGAUGCAGCCAUGCCGCGUGUAUGAAGAAGGCCUUAGGGUUGUAAAGUACUUUCAGUGGGGAGGCGUUACCCACAGAAGAAGCACCGGCUAACUCCGUGCCAGCAGCCGCGGUAAUUC
rnacentral:rRNA from 1 species